UGAAAGAAGGAUGGAUACAUGUCGGAGAUGGUUGUAACCAAGGACUCCUGAUAUACAAACUGUUGAGCUCACCCAUGGAAGCUCAGUUCUGAAGGACGAAAACAGGUAGAGAAAAGUCCAUGCCAGAAUGACGAUGUAAUACACCCCAGUGUACAAAACAACAACUUGGCUUCCAUAACCCAGGCCUAUGGAGAGACAGGGUUGAGGUACGGCGGAGCUCAUUGGCGAGCUAGGCGCAAGUUGAGGACAGCCGGUGUGCGACACGACGGAGCCAAAACCGAGACGGUUUAGGAGUUGAACGAAGAGGUUCCUUCUCCUGGAUUUGACUGACAUGAUUCCAGCUUUUUAAGACUCCUCUAAUUGAAAAUAGAGAACAAUCUUAUCCUGGAUUUGGGACCCUUCGACUGAUGUUAUUUUGGUUUAGCUCUGAAAGGAAUUUUA